GACGAACGCUGGCGGCGUGCUUAACACAUGCAAGUCGAACGGAAAGGCCCUGCUUUUGUGGGGUGCUCGAGUGGCGAACGGGUGAGUAACACGUGAGUAACCUGCCCUUGACUUUGGGAUAACUUCAGGAAACUGGGGCUAAUACCGGAUAGGAGCUCCUGCUGCAUGGUGGGGGUUGGAAAGUUUCGGCGGUUGGGGCUGGACUCGCGGCUUAUCAGCUUGUUGGUGGGGUAGUGGCUUACCAAGGCUUUGACGGGUAGCCGGCCUGAGAGGGUGACCGGCGACAAUGGGACUGAGAUACGGACCAGACUCCUACGGGAGGCAGCAGUGGGGAAUAUUGCACAAUGGGCGGAAGCCUGAUGCAGCAACGCCGCGUGCGGGAUGACGGCCUUCGGGGUGUAAACCGCUUUCGCCUGUGACGAAGCGUGAGUGACGGUAAUGGGUAAAGAAGCACCGGCUAACUACGUG
rnacentral:rRNA from 1 species